rnacentral:lncRNA from 1 species
GAUACAUAGGAUGUGUAAAGAUGUGCAUAUGGUGCAAUGGUGAUGUAACGGUGAUCGGUAUGAGAUCGUAUGGUAGUCAGGUAGUCAGGUAGUGUAUGAUCUUGUUACACGUGAUUGUUGUAAAAAAAUAUUAUUGUUACACGUGAUUGUUGUAAAAAAAUGUCACAAAAAAUUAAUGGGAGAGGAAAAGUUGCAUGGGAGAUAGAGCCGUUGGAGGGUGAAUAUCACCAAAAAUUAAUGGGGCUAGAAAAGCUGCAGCACAUAUGGCAGAGAGAGCCGUUGGGGUGACUUGAGUACAGCUUUAGCACAUAUGGCAGAGAGAGGCGUUGGGGUGCCUUGAGUACAGCUUUAGCACAUAUGGCAGAGAGAGCCGUUGGGGUGCCUUGAGUACAGCUUUAGCACAUAUAACACAGCUUUAGCUGUUCUCAAGACGCUUUAGGUCAUACUGAAUAUGGCAUAAAGCAUCUUUAUGUCUCAUCCACAGUGAAUGCAGACGUGUUGUAGAUACACGUUGGAAAAAAUCAAAAUACAAGGUAAAAUAUAUUAACUAGAGGUAAAAUAUAUUAACUAGAGAUAGAAGGGCACACAUCUCGGCAUAGAACACCGGUCCAUAUCGCUUCCAUCGUGGGGAAGACGAAGACGGGCGCUCUCCGCUA